rnacentral:rRNA from 1 species
UGGGGAAUCUUGCACAAUGGGGGCAACCCUGAUGCAGCGACGCCGCGUGAGCGAUGAAGCCCUUCGGGGCGUAAAGCUCUUUCGACCGGAACGAUAAUGACGGUACCGGGAGAAGAAGCUGCGGCUAACUACGUGCCAGCAGCCGCGGUAAUACGUAGGCAGCAAGCGUUGUUCGGAGUUACUGGGCGUAAAGAGUGCGUAGGCGGUUUUCUAAGUUCGGUGUGAAAUCUCCCGGCUUAACUGGGAGGGUGCGCCGAAGACUGGGAAGCUGGAGUGUGGGAAAGGCAGGCGGAAUUCCUGGUGUAGCGGUGGAAUGCGUAGAUAUCAGGAGGAACACCGGCGGUGUAGACGGCUUGCUAGACCAUAACUGACGCCGAGGCACGAAAGCGUGGGUAGCAAACA